CGCUUUGUGUUUAUCUAAAAUCCCCAUAAAAAUACAUUGAAGUUUGUCGUUGUUCAAGUUCAAGUACUCUUGCAAGGCAUUGUAGCUGCAGUCUAAAACAUCUCUCGAACAAGCAUGAUAUAUUUGAAAUGGUAGAUAAUAAACAUGUUUUUCGCCACAGUUGUUGAUUCACAAGCUGAGGCGAGGCACAUUCUUUCACACUCCACAAAAGUUCACACAGUCUAAAGGGUGCCUGUCCUUUUUGCUCCGUCAUUGCACAGCUCGGUAAGCCUGGACUAAUCCUGUCCUGCCACCGCAAAUAAAACCCCAAGCCCUAAAUACAUUUCAGAAGUACAAACGAGGAACUGGAGCAUUACUUUAGGUGGGAUGCAUGGAGAAGAAGGUGGGCUGCUGGGGCAUGUCUGAGCAAGUCCUAGCAACAUUUUUCUUUGUGUUAUAACAGAAGGUGGGAAACUCCUCAUCCUUUAUCUUUACUGCCUCAGAAAAACGGCUGCCCUGUCAGGCUCAGAGGGCGGAGUUUAACCUUUCUUUCCACUGUGCUGCUGCACGUUGGGAAGGUUUAUAAAAGGCUUAGAUCACAGAUCAAAAGCACAGGAAACGGACCUGCUCACACUGGAGAUGGUGGCAGCGUGUCACACUGUAACCCAUCUUGCAGAUUAUCCUGCUCAGGGCUUUUAUUAUUUAAUAGUAGUGCAAAUUGAUGAUUGUUUAGGGCGCCUAAAAUUGAUGUUUAUGUUCUUGCAGGAAAGGUGUUUCCCCUACGUUUUUGUUUCUCAUGUAACUUCGUCUCACAUCACUUCAAGAAUUGCACGCUGUGAACUGUAAUUUAAUAGUUUUAUUGAUAGUUUUGCAUCUUUCCAAACAUUUUGCACUUUUUAUGAAAGGUUGUGGCCAUUGUGGGGGCGACAUUCUCCACGUGCGGAGCUCCCUGAAAACUGACAGGACUGUGUGCAAAAACUCACCCACUUGCUACAUUGUCAAGUCUGCCAACCAGACUACAGCUCAGCACUCAAAAAUGUAUUGAAUUUACUACCCUCAAAGUAUUUUUCUUAAAUAAGGAGGCACAGAGUGAGUUGUUACUGUCUAAACAGGCAGGGAUGGAGAGUCAGAGAGAUGUUAAAAGUUUAGUCACAGCAAAACCUCAGCAAAUCUGAGAUUUAGUCUAAAUUGUUUAGGAUUCCUGCACAGGAAAGAACAUGAGGCAUAAACAAGUGCAAAAACAGACUCGUACUAGGAUUGUCAGCUGCUCUUGUCCCUAUCAGUUCAUUUGUCUGCAUGUCUGGGUCAGAGUUGAAACAAUAUGCAGUGUGACACACAGCAGGCCAAUACAGAAAGGUAAACUCUAGGCUGACUCAUCAGAGGUGCAUUUUGGGCUGCUGGAGGUGGUUUAUGGAGCUUUGUAUCCUUUCAUAUGAAAAUUAAAACAAGGUAACACAUUUUAUUUCUUAAAUGUAUUUUAAUUGCAAUGGAUUUUAUUUGGGGGUGUCAGAAGAUGGAAUAUAAAGCAUGCAACAUUUAAAAUUUGUAUUUGUAACUAUUGUAAAUCUGAAAAUAAUGCUUUUCUGUAGACUUCGCAAAAAAUUGCUACUUUGUGUUGAUUUAUCAUAUAAAAUCCAACCAAAAUAUAUUUUUUUGGGUUUAUGGUUUCACCAUGACAAAAGGUAAAAUAGAUCAUCAUAAAUACAACAAAUAUACUGUGGACCUUAUCAUUUUACUAAAUUAUCCUUUUAUUAACCAUUCUCUAUAUGCACUUUAUCUUAUUCAGGGUCACCACUGAGCAUUGGCAAAAACAUAUGGAACAGCCUGAACAGGACGUCCACAGAGACACAUGGACAUGCAGGCAACCAUGGACGCUUGCCAUCAAAUCUAAAGGUGAGCAUGUAGUUGCCAAUUAAGCUAAUAGGCAUAUUUUGGGAUUGUGGGGAGGAAUACUCCACGCAUGCGCAAAACAUGAAGAGUCCACUCAGAUUGUAAUACAUUUUAUGUAAAUAUGUUUGGAAGUUUUUAUCAGUUUUUCAACCAAUUGGCAGGUCACGCAGAUAGAACUUAUUAGUGAGUUAAAAUAAACCUUUCAGUUUGAAAAUUUACCGAAAUGAAAUAAAAUUACUGAAAGCUGAAAAUAUGUUAUUAAAUUAAUAGACACAAAUACAAAUAUACACGAUUAUAGAAGCAAUAAAUACAGUAUUUAAAAUUAUAAAUAAAAACGUAUUUCCAACACUAAAGGACUGAGUUUUAUCACUAUGGUUUUCAGUUUUGUAGUCUUAUGUUUGGUAUGGUUAUUAAUUUAGCGCUGUGUCAUUGUAUCAUCCUAAUGUUUUCCCUUCUGUUAGGUUUAUAGUAGGGGUGUAACAGCACACAAAAACAAUGGUCGGGUUUUAAAGUGAUGCUUCGGUACGCCUUUGGUACAUUUAAUUUAAGAGAAACACAGUUGUAUACAUAUCUCUAUUAUUUAGAAUAUUUCAAAACGAACCAACUGGAGAUCUGGUUUGAUUUUGUCAAUUGAUAAAUCCAUAUUCACUGCUCAA